rnacentral:rRNA from 1 species
UCCUCGCGGUCCAAGUCGCAGCCAUCAUUAUUGGGUCUAAAACAUCCGUAGCUUGCUUAAUAAGUUCCUUGUGAAAUCUUAUCUCUUAAGGGUAAGGCGUGCAGGGAAUACUGUUGAGCUAGAGACUGGAAGACGUAAGAAGUAUGUUCGAAGUAGUGGUAAAAUAUGUUAAUCUCGGACAGACUCACAACAGCGAAGGCAUCUUACGAGGACAGUUCUGACAGUAAAGGAUGAAGGCUAGGGGCGCAAAGUGG